AUUACAAGAUGAAAGCACAAUAACUUUAUAGAUGGAUGCAGAGUGUGUGUUUUUGCCCUCAUGAAUGCGCAAUUACUGUUGCACAGGAAAAUUGCGCAUUGGUAUCUGCGUAGUGUAAGGCAAGGGACAGUUCUAUGUGUAUGAGGCUAUUGUUGUUGUUGUGUAAGAGAGAGUCGCUAUUGUGCAUGGCUGAGAUGGUAUGUGUUUGUGAGUGGGAUUAUUUCUUGCUUCGUUAUCAGCAAUGGGUUCACUGCGCUAGCUGUGGCAUCUGAUCCUGGUGCCGUGGGGCAGGAGUGUGUGUGUUCGUGUGUGUAAGUGUGUGUGUAAUAGCCUCAUGGUUGGCAAACUCUCUACUGCGGUACUUAUGGCAAUACAUUGGGGUGUCACUUCAGCAGGGUGUGUUUCACACAUGUUACUGUGUGACUCUUUGUAGUCAGUGUGGGUUCUGCACAUGCGUGCAUGAAUUAAAGAUGUAUCUCAUGUCAUUCCAAAUCUGUAACUUUUUUCUUCUAUGGACAAAUUACAAAAAAAGCACAAUUAAUGCAUCAUAAACUGGUUCAUACAACUUGCAUUCUCUGAAGCCAUACAAACUUUGUGUUAAGAAAUUAAAAUUUAAAUCAUUAUUCCCUGCUCUCCCUCUGCCGUAGCUUUCAUAUUAAAUGUCACUUUUAGACAUCAUGUCAGCUUUGAAGUUAUUGACAAUAACUUUGAUUUCACAGAUGUCAAACAUGAUGCAGUUUGCUUAAAGGCACAAUAUAUAACUGAAUGCAGACAUAAAUAAGACUUGAGACCUACACUGGAAGCCAAGAUUUUUAAGUGAACAACAACUUGGUUUGUUUGUUUACAAGACAAAAAUAUCAUAUGACUUAGAAGACUUGUAAUAUAGUUCUUGAGUUGCAUGGACCACUUUUAUGAUACUUUUAUGCUGCUUCUUUGUCAUCCCAUUCAAUAUUCAGAAUUUUUAACUUUUCUGUUCCACAGAAGAAAAAGCAAGUCAUGUGAGUGUGUAAAUUAAAAAGAAAUAAAUACAUUUUGCUUGAACA
ensembl:lncRNA